UACGGAGGGUGCAAGCGUUAUCCGGAUUCACUGGGUUUAAAGGGAGCGUAGGUGGGUUGGUAAGUCAGUGGUGAAAUCCCCGAGCUUAACUUGGGAACUGCCAUUGAUACUAUCAGUCUUGAAUAUUGUGGAGGUCAGCGGAGUAUGUCAUGUAGCGGUGAAAUGCUUAGAGAUGACAUAGAACACCAAUGGCGAAGGCAGCGGGCUACACAUAUAUUGACACUGAGGCUCGAAAGCGUGGGGAUCAAACAGG
rnacentral:rRNA from 1 species